CGCCUCUUGCUUAACUACUAUAAGAGGUCCCGCCUGCCCUGUGACAAUGUUUAACGGCCGCGGUAUUUUGACCGUGCGAAGGUAGCGUAAUCACUUGUCUUUUAAAUGAAGACCUGUAUGAAAGGCAUCACGAGAGUUUAACUGUCUCUAUUUUCUAAUCAAUGAAAUUGAUCUUCUCGUGCAGAAGCGAGAAUAUUACCAUUAGACGAGAAGACCCUAUGGAGCUUCAAACACUUAAAUUAAUUAUGUAAAAUUAUAACCCCCCAGGGGAAAAAUCAUUCAUAUAAUAUUCCUAAUUUAACUGUUUUUGGUUGGGGUGACCGAGGGGGAAAGAAAAUCCCCCUUAUCGACUGAGUACUAAGUACUUAAAAAUUAGAACGACAGUUCUGAUUAAUAAAACAUUUACCGAAAAAUGACCCAGAUUUUUCUGAUCAAUGAACCAAGUUACCCUAGGGAUAACAGCGCAAUCCUUUCCCAGAGUCCCUAUCGCCGAAAGGGUUUACGACCUCGAUGUUGGAUCAGGACAUCCUAAUGGUGCAACCGCUAUUAAGGGUUCGUUUGUUCAACGAUUAAUAGUCCU
rnacentral:rRNA from 1 species